UUUAUAAAGUCCCUGUGCGCAGGCGGGCGGCGCGUUCCAGCUGCCGGCCUGGCCCAGGGAGGACUUGGCCGUGCGGCCGCCGAUUACACCCAGCUCGGCUAGGAUGGCUCCGAGCCGUCUGCCCUGACGUCAGCUAGGCUCCGGCCCCGCCGCGGCGAGAUAGGCGAGCGCGGCCGGGCGCGGGCGCGGCACUAAUCACUCCCAGAUGUCCCUAAUAGCGGAGAUAAAGACCGACAGAGAGGCCGGGAAUAAAUUUGUAAUCAGGGCUCUACCAUCUGAUCAUCAAAGCGGCCCAAAUGCCGGGAGCAUUUGAAGGGACUGUGUGUGUAGGGGGGUCGCGUUGGGGGGAGGUGAGGGGUGCGCUUCGCGAUGGGAACUGGCUUCGACAGGAUCGAGCGGGGAGAACAGGGCGAGAGAUCUGUAAGCUCUGUGCACGAGUGAUUGCUCUUAACAAAAUGGCAGCAACCACAUUAUCCGAGCAAUUAAAACAGAGGCUUUUUAGCCGGUCCCACAAGUAGAGACUUGGAAAAAAAUUUUAAACAAAGAAGAAAAAGUUAGAAGAGAAAUAAGUGUUGGAAGAGAAAAGCAUGGAAGCAGAAGAAACGCCUGUCCAGACCUGAUGGCUUUCUCCUGAGCGGAUUAAAAUCAAGACGCAGAAAACAACUGGAAGCAGGAGAGGAAGAGAGAGCCACUUGAUCAAACGUGGGACGAUUGGGAGAGCAACAGAAAAUCAGGGCGCGCCUCCCCCACACCUCCUCCCCGUGCAAUAAACAAA